UCCCUUUAUGGGUGUUCCCUGGGAUCCUCUGUAGUGAGGCCACAGAGACAGGGGGGUCUUUGCUCAAAAGCCUGGGGUCCCCAGCCCACUGCUUGCACAGGUUAACUGGUCCUGAUGUUAGGGUCUCCCCAAGAGGCAAGUCAGGCACCCCGGCCAUCCCCAGCCCCGGCAGGCGGCCCCGGGGCCCUUGGGGUGCUCUACUGACCAGCAACAGCUGGGGGAAGCCCCCCCCCAGGAGGGAAGACCCCUCCAGAAGAUGGGGUGUCGCCCCGGGCAGCCCAUUCCAGGGACGGGGCAAGCUCAGCCGCUCUUCCCCAGGGGUCACCGGGGUGGCAAAGGAGGCAGGCGGGUGACAGGGGAGGCGCCGGGCAGGGCCGCUCCACCCCCACCCACCUGCUCCCCGAGGCCUGCGGGGCUGCUCCCACGUCGGCCAGGGCCCCAGGCAGGAAGGCUCGGCCACGCUGGCGGUGAGAAGGUGCAGACUCGGGGCUCGGCAGGGCCACCUUUGCCCAGAGGCGGCCGGGUGCCAUGACCAGAGAGGAGACCCAGCACCCUCCAGUCCAGCGACCCGUGCCGAGGCACCGACGGCUUCGUCACCCAUCUAAAAGGGCCGCCGUCUUCCCUUCCGGUGGCCGGGCGAGGGGGAAAGCACGCAAGGUCACCCGAGGAGGGUGCUGGCUCCCGUCGCCUCCCCGGGCCGGCCCCUUGCUCCUCCUUCCAGCCCGGCAUAAACGCCCCCUCCGCCGGGAGGACUCGGCCGCCCGGGCGCCCCUCCCAGCGGGGGGUGCGGGCUGCUCAUCAGGCCUUUAUGUGCAGGGUCAUUUCAGGGGGUCCCCGGAGGC
rnacentral:lncRNA from 1 species